rnacentral:rRNA from 1 species
UACAGAGGUGGCAAGCGUUGUUCGGAAUUACUGGGCGUAAAGGGCGCGUAGGCGGCCUACUAAGUCAGACGUGAAAUCCCCCGGCUUAACCUGGGAACUGCGUCUGAUACUGGAAGGCUUGAGGAUGGGAGAGGGAUGUAGAAUUCCAGGUGUAGCGGUGAAAUGCGUGGAUAUCUGGAGGAAUACCGGUGGCGAAGGCGGCAUCCUGGACCAUUACUGACGCUGAGGCGCGAAAGCUAGGGGAGCAAACGGG